GUGAGGAAUAUUGGUCAAUGGGCGGAAGCCUGAACCAGCCAUCCCGCGUGAAGGAAGGCGGCCCUAUGGGUUGUAAACUUCUUUAGUACAUGAAGAACAGGAUCUACGCGUAGGUUUAUGACGGUAAUGUACAAAAAAGCAUCGGCUAACUCCGUGCCAGCAGCCGCGGUAAUACGGAGGAUGCGAGCGUUAUCCGGAUUCAUUGGGUUUAAAGGGUACGUAGGUGGCCCUGUAAGUCAGUGGUGAAAAUCUGCCGCUUAACGGUAGGGGUGCCAAUGAUACUGCGGGGCUUGAGUACAGUUGAGGUAGGUGGAAUGUGUAGUGUAGCGGUGAAAUGCAUAGAUAUUACACAGAACUCCGAUUGCGAAGGCAUCUUACUAAGCUGAAACUGACACUGAUGUACGAAAGCGUGGGGAUCGAACAGGAUUAGAAACCCUUGUAGUCC
rnacentral:rRNA from 1 species